rnacentral:lncRNA from 1 species
CAACUCCUCAUUUUAAAACAAAGGGCUGAUGAAAGGGCAGGUGUGCCCAGAGCCCUCUGCGAUUAGCUGUAAUUCUUGGCAGAGUGCGACAUGCUUAUUCUUCUGAAUUAGCGCUGAGCACAAGGCGUUUACCACGGUGCUAAUUGCUAUUGCAGGAAAACAAGCUGUCCCAGUAUGUGGGCAUGAGGCAAGACAAAACAGAUGCCAAAGCCAUUCAGAGCCAUACCCUGCAUCGGGCGCUGAGCCGGCGGCUAAGAACGAGUUUGUCUAAACGUCAGUCUCCUGUGGGUAGGAUACGGGGGUGUGAUUCUAGGCUCUGAUUCAGAGAACACAGAUCGUGUGCUUGUUCGGAGGACAGUUUUGAGUCCCUGCUGUCACCUUCCUCACCAUAGAUUCAGAGAAGGUAGGUGGAGCUUCCUUCUGAAUUUAUUUUUUUCUAACGUUUGCUUUGGUAACGCUGAAGUUGUCACCUGUUGUUUCAAGGAAUGUAAAAAUCACCAGGAGUAUUAUAUUAUAAUUCAGAUAUUAUAAUACAUUUGGAUUAUCCAAGUGCAUUCGAGUAUAGUUUCUGCUUACGUGUGUAGAUGUCCAGCAGGACUUGAAGGACAGGAGAGUCACCAAGGGGAACAGUGUAGUGAUACAAAGGGCACUAUGACCAGUUUUUGCUUCUCGUCCUGACUUUCUGCUUUUUAACCAUGUGGGCGACCUUGAGAAAGGUACUUGAGCCCUCAAUUGCUUCAUCUGCAAAAUUAGAAAUUUGGACUGGACUACAUUGAAGCUAUUCCCC